rnacentral:rRNA from 1 species
UACGUAGGGUGCAAGCGUUAAUCGGAAUUACUGGGCGUAAAGCGUGCGCAGGCGGCUUUGCAAGACAGAUGUGAAAUCCCCGGGCUUAACCUGGGAACUGCAUUUGUGACUGCAUGGCUAGAGUGCGGCAGAGGGGGAUGGAAUUCCGCGUGUAGCAGUGAAAUGCGUAGAUAUGCGGAGGAACACCGAUGGCGAAGGCAAUCCCCUGGGCCUGCACUGACGCUCAGGUGCGAAAGCUAGGGGAGCGAACAGG